rnacentral:lncRNA from 1 species
CGGGGUGCUUCGCGUCACGCGGACGCCUCAAUAAAGGGCUUUGUGGUGCCAGUCCCUUCCGCCAGGGGCCCGGGGAGCCAGGCCCGGGACGGGGUCCCGCGGGGGCCUGCGGGUUAAGCAGUCGAGGCUCUCACACACUUGAUGGAACAAAACUUACGAGCAAAAGAGCUGGUCCUUGUGAGGAUUAAAGAUCAUGCAUAAAUUCUCUGCCAACAUGAUGCUUUCUGGGCAGCUGAAAUCUCAUCUAGGACCAGUUAAGAGCCUUAAAAACUGUCAACACAGAAAAUAUAUGGCGCUGGAACCUUUGUUAUUGAUACGGCCCAUCACCUAGCACAUUGCCUUAAGAAUAUUCAUAUAAAUGGAAUGGACUACUCUCUGAAGCAAAACUACAUCAUCUUCUACAGAAAAUUUUUGCAAAAUUACAUCCUUCAGCUCCAAAAGCAGGAAAAUAAAAUUAUCAAACUUUCAC